CUUAGAAUAAUGUUUAUUUAAAGUUACAUUUCAGAGUAAACCAUCUUCAGGAGGGCAUGCAGCUUAUGUUGGCUACUGCAAUACAUCCAGAAAUUUUAAUAAAAUCCUUCUGAUAUACUAUAAAUUACUAAAGUACUAUAGAUAGGCACCUGUAUUACAUACAAUCUUCAAAUAUUUUCAAAACUUAACAUUAUGUAUUAGUUGAUACUUAAAAUGUUAAGGCCCCAGACAAAGUAACUGAACGGUUAAGAAUGUGACAAAAAUGAGAUGCUUGUCUCCAUGAUCUUUUGAGAAACCAUUUCAGACUCUAAACGUCAUGAUCCAACCAUAGUCCAGGGGCCUCCUGACGAUGGCUGUAUUAGGUUGCAAAUCACCUUUCCUGUGGAAAGGGCAGAUUUCAAGAUGGCAACUGCUGUGUCAUCAUUUUCCUGCUAAGGACUCUAUCAGAAAUCCUUCAGAAAACCCUGCCCUAAAUGCGCUUUGUUUUCCCACUGCAGUUUUCCUUCUCUCCAUUAGAUGGCAGUAACACACCACCAUUUUCUUCCUAUAGGGUCAGAAAUUAACGUGGGAAAAAUUAAGGUUCACUGCAGGCCAAGUUUCUCCAAGUAAACGGGGUACAAAAAUUGAAGAAGACAAUAAAGAAUGAUUCUAAAUAGAUCACAAGGCCAAGAUAGUGCUGGUUAUGGGAAAUAAGAAAGAGACAACUAAUGAAUAAAAGACAUUUGUGAGAAAGGUAUCAAAUAAAUUCUGCUAAAUAUUGUAUUAAAAGGAUCGGGAGAGAAGGGAAAUGAAAUAUAUACCCCCUAGACUGAAGGAAAAAUGAGCCAUUAACCUUUGACUAAAAAAGGACAUUUUAAUAGACUAGAAAAGCUACUCUCAUUUAAAAAGCAACUGAAGAAUGUCUCAAAUGCUCAGCUGUUCUUCUGAAUUAAGUAUUAAGAUUUACUAACAGUGGCCAUUAACAGAGUAAUUACAUAGUUAAAAUGACCCAAUUAAAAAAUAUGGACUAUAUUCCCAUCUAUCUCAAAAACAUCUGGCUGGCCCUAUAAAUUAUCUGCCCACACUCCCCACCCUGUGGCAGAGGUCAAUAAACGAGUAACUAUUCAGCAAAACAGGGAGACUUAAAGCAGCAAAGAAGAAAGGCUCUUUUGAUAUAUACUUCUUAAGAAAAUACUUUGGAUAACUACAAA
rnacentral:lncRNA from 1 species